CUGGGUUUAGAACGUCGUGAGACAGUUCGGUCUCUAUCCAGUGUGGGCACAUGAUGAUUGAAAAGGAGCUCUCCUUAGUACGAGAGGACCGGGAGAGACGAACCUCUAGUGUUCCGGUUAUCCCGCCAGGGGUAAUGGCCGGGUAGCUAAGUUCGGAAGGGAUAAGUGCUGAAUGCAUAUAAGUACGAAGCCCCCCUUAAGAUGAAUCAUCGAUUCUCCUUCGGGAGAUGAAGGCACCUCGUAGACUACGAGGUUGAUAGGCAGGGUGUGUAAGGCCUGAAAGGGCUUCAGCUAACCUGUACUAAUUAGCCAAACACUUGUCCUU
rnacentral:rRNA from 1 species